GAUGAACGCUGGCGGCGUGCUAAACACAUGCAAGUCGAACGAUGAACCGGGUGCUUGCACUCGGGGAUUAGUGGCGAACGGGUGAGUAACACGUGAGCAACCUGCCCCUGACUCUGGGAUAAGCGCUGGAAACGGCGUCUAAUACUGGAUAUGUCCCGUCACCGCAUGAUGUGCGGGUGGAAAGAUUUUUCGGUUGGGGAUGGGCUCGCGGCCUAUCAGCUUGUUGGUGAGGUAAUGGCUCACCAAGGCGUCGACGGGUAGCCGGCCUGAGAGGGUGACCGGCCACACUGGGACUGAGACACGGCCCAGACUCCUACGGGAGGCAGCAGUGGGGAAUAUUGCACAAUGGGCGGAAGCCUGAUGCAGCAACGCCGCGUGAGGGAUGACGGCCUUCGGGUUGUAAACCUCUUUUAGCAGGGAAGAAGCGAGAGUGACGGUACCUGCAGAAAAAGCACCGGCUAACUACGUGCCAGCCGCCGCGGUAA
rnacentral:rRNA from 1 species